GACGAACGCUGGCGGCGUGCUUAACACAUGCAAGUCGAGCGAGACCCCUCCAUCGGGAGGGUGUCCUAGCGGCGGACGGGUGGGUAACACGUGGGCAACCUGCCCUCUGCUCUGGGAUAACUCCGGGAAACCGGGGCUAAUACCGGAUACGACCUCCACGGGCCUCUUCGGAGGAGGAGAGCUUUUCGGCUGGGGCUGGGCCAGCGGCCUAUCAGCUAGUUGGUGGGGUAGUGGCCCACGAAGGCCACGACGGGUAGCCGGCAUGUGAGGGCGACCGGCGACCCGGGGACUGCGAGAGGGCGCAGACGGCUACGGGAGGCAGCAGGGGGGAAUAUUGCGCAGUGGGCGCGAGCCUGACGCGGCGGCCCCGGGUGAGUGAAGAAGGCCUUCGGGUUGUAAACCGCUUUCAGCAGGGACGAAGCGAAAGUGACGGUACCUGCAGAAGAAGCACCGGCCAACUACGUG
rnacentral:rRNA from 1 species